UCAUUCCGGAAUUGUUUAUUAUGUUCAGUUAUAAUCCGGAUUUAUAUAUACAUAACCGGUUCAGAGUUUAUAGUAGUACCUCCGCUCCACGAGCGCCAUGCACAAAUUCUCGGAACCACGUUCCUUCAGUUUUUUGGUGACAUAGAGACCCCACAGUAUGUAAAAGAUGGCCGGUCAUAGGCUUUUGAUACUUUUCCUGCAUCUGAUGGUAUUUGAUUCUAAAAACAGCAACUAUCUGACUACCAGAAACUACACCUAAAAAGAACCCCAGAGCAUUGGAAAUUAUGAAACUUAUCUUGUUGGUCGUUAUACUGUCAUUUGGGGGAGCUUUCACGCAGGAUCGAAAAAUUGCAGAUGACCUUAUGAGGACUAACCGCUGCUAUCCCGAAUGUCUCAAGAGGUUGGACGAAUGCAUAGAGCAUUUCAAAUGUUCAUUGCAACGUUGGAGGUGCUUUGAUUACUGCACCGACGUAUACGACAGCUGUAUGGAAUGCAGAUCUUAAAAGAUACCAUGUUUAUAUUAACAUGUCAUAAGAAUUCAAAUAAAAUGUCUCACA